rnacentral:rRNA from 1 species
AACGAACGCUGGCGGCAUGCCUAACACAUGCAAGUCGAACGAGACCUUCGGGUCUAGUGGCGCACGGGUGCGUAACGCGUGGGAACCUGCCCUUAGAUUCGGAAUAACUCCCCGAAAGGGGUGCUAAUACCGGAUAAUGUCUUCGGACCAAAGAUUUAUCGCCUUUGGAUGGGCCCGCGUUGGAUUAGCUAGUUGGUAGGGUAAAAGCCUACCAAGGCGACGAUCCAUAGCUGGUCUGAGAGGAUGAUCAGCCACACUGGGACUGAGACACGGCCCAGACUCCUACGGGAGGCAGCAGUGGAGAAUAUUGGACAAUGGGCGAAAGCCUGAUCCAGCAAUGCCGCGUGAGUGAUGAAGGCCUUAGGGUUGUAAAGCUCUUUUACCCGGGAUGAUAAUGACAGUACCGGGAGAAUAAGCUCCGGCUAACUCCGUG